rnacentral:rRNA from 1 species
AUUGAACGCUGGCGGCAGGCCUAACACAUGCAAGUCGAACGGUAACAGGAAACAGCUUGCUGUUUCGCUGACGAGUGGCGGACGGGUGAGUAAUGUCUGGGAAACUGCCUGAUGGAGGGGGAUAACUACUGGAAACGGUAGCUAAUACCGCAUAACGUCGCAAGACCAAAGAGGGGGACCCUCGGGCCUCUUGCCAUCGGAUGUGCCCAGAUGGGAUUAGCUUGUUGGUGGGGUAACGGCUCACCAAGGCGACGAUCCCUAGCUGGUCUGAGAGGAUGACCAGCCACACUGGAACUGAGACACGGUCCAGACUCCUACGGGAGGCAGCAGUGGGGAAUAUUGCACAAUGGGCGCAAGCCUGAUGCAGCCAUGCCGCGUGUAUGAAGAAGGCCUUCGGGUUGUAAAGUACUUUCAGCGGGGAGGAAGGGAGUAAAGUUAAUACCUUUGCUCAUUGACGUUACCCGCAGAAGAAGCACCAGCUAACUCCGUG